ACGGCCGUACCAUGCUGAAUACACCGGUUCUCGUUCGAUCACCGAAGUUAAGCAUUUCCGGUCUUGGGUGGGUGACCACCUAGGAACACUGCGUGCCGUU